AGAUGCGAUCAUACCAGCACUAAUGCACCAGAUCCCAUCAGAACUCCGCAGUUAAGCGUACUUGUGCGAGAGUAGUACGAAGAUGGGUAACCUCUCGGAAAGUCCUCGUGUUGUAUCCU
rnacentral:rRNA from 1 species